rnacentral:piRNA from 1 species
UCCACAGGACCAGAUCUCAGAUCCUCACA